CUAGUUCGGAUUGUAGGCUGAAACCCGCCUACAUGAAGCUGGAAUUGCUAGUAAUCAUAGGUCAGCAUACUAUGGUGAAUACGUUCCCGGGCCUUGUACACACCGCCCGUCACACCAUGGGAGUUGGGAGCGCCCGAAGCCGGUGAGGUAACCGAGAGGAGCCAGCCGUCGAAGGUGAGACCAAUGACUGGGUGAAGUCGUAACAAGGUAUC
rnacentral:rRNA from 1 species